GGCGGGACUGCCUGUUUGUUGCUGUCCAUAGGGGCGGGACUUCCUGCUUUACCCUGGCGGCGGAGGCGGGACUUCCUGCUCUGCUGCCGGUGGGGGGGGCGGGACUUCCUGUUCGUUAUGGGGGCGGGACUUCCUGCUUCCACUCCGACCCCGCCCACCCCCAGGGAAGGGCCCCAGGGCGCUGUGGGGCUGGGAGCUAUGGGGCGCUGUGGGGCGCUGUGGGGUGCUGUGGGGCACCAUGGGGCUCUAUGGGACUCUAUGGGGCGCUGUGGGGCGCUGUGGGGCAAGGCACUGUGGGGUGCUGUGGGGUGUUAUGGGGCGCUAUGGGGCACUGUAGGGUGCUGUGGGGCUGGAUGCUGUGGGGCUGGGAGCUAUGGGGCGCUGUGGGGCACUGUGGGGCGUUACGGGGUGCUAUGGGGCGCUGUGGGGCGUUACGGGCGCUAUGGGGCGCUGUGGGGCACCACAAGUGCCAUGGGGCUGGGGGUGUAGGGGUCAGGGUGCUGUGGGCGCUAUGGGGCUGGGCCCUAUAUCGGGGCAAUCGCACGGCACCCCCAGGUACUUGGGGGUGCUGGGAGAGGGAGGGGGGCACC
rnacentral:lncRNA from 1 species